GAUGAACGCUGGCGGCGUGCUUAACACAUGCAAGUCGAACGAAGCAUUUCUGCGGAAGCUUUCGGGUGGAAGCAGAAGUGACUUAGUGGCGGACGGGGGAGUAACGCGUGGGUAACCUGCCUUGUACAGGGGGAUAACAGUUAGAAAUGACUGCUAAUACCGCAUAACCCUUUAGUGCCGCAUGGCACGGAAGGCAAAGAUUUCAUCGGUACAGGAUGGACCCGCGGCUGAUUAGCUAGUUGGUGAGGUAACGGCCCACCAAGGCGACGAUCAGUAGCCGACUUGAGAGAGUGAUCGGCCACAUUGGGACUGAGACACGGCCCAAACUCCUACGGGAGGCAGCAGUGGGGAAUAUUGCACAAUGGGGGAAACCCUGAUGCAGCGACGCCGCGUGAAGGAAGAAGUAUUUCGGUAUGUAAACUUCUAUCAGCAAGGAAGAUAAUGACGGUACUUGACUAAGAAGCCCCGGCUAACUACGUGCCAGCCGCCGCAGUAAAAC
rnacentral:rRNA from 1 species